rnacentral:rRNA from 1 species
AGAAUCAACGCUGGCGGCGUGCCUCAGACAUGCAAGUCGAACGCGAAAGUUUCCUUCGGGGAGCGAGUAGAGUGGCGCACGGGUGAGUAACACGUAGGUAAUCUACCUUUGGAUGGGGAAUAACAACCGGAAACGGUUGCUAAUACCGCAUGAUGCAGCGGCACCUAAUGGUGACAGUUGUUAAAGCGGGGGAUCGAAAGACCUCGCGUCUGAAGAGGAGCCUGCGGCGGAUUAGCUAGUUGGUAGGGUAACGGCCUACCAAGGCAACGAUCCGUAGCCGG